GACGACGCUGGCGGCGUGCUUAACACAUGCAAGUCGAACGAGGUCCACCGCGUAGCAAUACAAGGGAAGACCUAGUGGCGAACGGGUGCGUAACACGUGAGGAACUUGUCCCGGUCUCUGGGAUAACAGUUGGAAACGACUGCUAAUACCGGAUGACGUCGGAAUCUCGCAUGGGAUACUGACGAAAGGGUUACUGGAUCGGGAGAGCCUCGCGGCCUAUCAGCUUGUUGGUGAGGUAACGGCUCACCAAGGCAUCGACGGGUAGCUGGUCUGAGAGGAUGAUCAGCCACACUGGGACUGAGACACGGCCCAGACUCCUACGGGAGGCAGCAGUGGGGAAUCUUGCGCAAUGGGCGAAAGCCUGACGCAGCAACGCCGCGUGCGGGAAGAAGGCCCUCGGGUUGUAAACCGCUUUCAGCAGGAACGAAAAUGACGGUACUUGCAGAAGAAGGUGCGGCCAACUACGUG
rnacentral:rRNA from 1 species